GAAAUGUUUAACCUACCUCAAUACUAGAUGAAGUGUUUUAUAGCAUGCGGUCCACGGGAACACUUAAAAUGAAUUUCUGCAUGCUGGAAUGCUCUUUCAGUGCAUUGAAAGAGGUGAAGGCAGUGAUUAAAGCAAAUUGGAAAGCCUUGGGCACUCCUAUUGCUUCAGCCUCGGGGCUGUGCAGAAGAUGACUUCUCAGCUGCUCAGCAACCAGCUCUUCUUCUGCGGAAAAUUCAGAUCAGAAAGAAUCUGAGAAAAAUACUUGAGGAAAGCUACUGCUGCCAGCAGCCCUUGCUCUUCGCUCUUCAGUGUGCCUCAUCUUGGAGUAGUCACAGAGGAAAUGUAAAAUUGAAUGUAUUCCCCAACUGCGCUGAUGCUAUGGAAGUUACAAUAGUUCCUGGGUUAAAAAGAGAGCUUUCUUUUAUCUCCAGAGGCUGAUCCCACUUAGACCCUUCCUAUGCCUGGUUUUGCCAUAAAUCCAGAACAAUAAUCCCCGCUAUGCUGAAAUAUUCACAAGGGGAAUAUCACCGCUGUUAUUUAAGGAAUGCCACAAAAAAAGAAGACAUGGAAAUGCAUGGAGCUCAAGUCUCGGGUACGGCUCGCUUGGGGAAGAAAUGCAUUUUCAGAAAACCACUUCCAGCUGAUGAAACAGGAGGUCAGAGUCCUGGCCAAAGUCAGAAGAUGCAGCUGUGUUUGGGAAGAGGCACCUGCAGAUCUGGGGACCUCACCCUGAGAAACCUGGGGGGCCAGGGAAGUGUAAGCCUGACUGACACAGUGAAAUACCCAAUGAAGGGAAACACAUCUUCCCUUACUUCAGUGUGGAGGAUUUUCAGUGCAAUGGUUAUUUAGAGCCAGGAGGUUGUGAACCGGAUGUCAGCUGUUGGAACUAAAGGGCAUUUGAGCUUUUGGACAGCUUAGCCCAGCAGAACUCAUUUCAUACCGUUGACGUUGAACAGAUUGACAGCCUGCAUGGAAUGGGGACUAAAAUAAAGCUCUCGGUAGGGCCACCAACCUCCAGAUCUGGUACUGGACCAGGCUGCCCAGGGCCCCAUCCAACCUGGUCUCAGAGCCAUUCGCCAGGGAAACAUUCAGCAGUGCUGAGCUGUGCAAAGCGAGCCCAGCUGGAGUAGCUGCUUACACCUGUUUCUCGCCUUUUCACUGGAAGAUCCAAAUCCAAAGUUUGCAUCUGGGUAUGGUCCUGAGCUGAGUGCUUGAAUGGGAGAUGGCAGGAGAAGCAUUCCUUGCCUUCCUGCUCAGUGACUCAUUUGCACCAAAAGGAAGAAUAAAGCCUGGUCUGUUGUUCCAAAAAAGCAUCUUCCACAAAGCCACAGCUUCCACCAGUUCCAGUUGUUUCUCAAACCCAUAUGAACUUGUGAGAACUGCAGCAUUGCACAACAAGUGCUUCUGCAACUUCUGCUUGCUUAAAGGGAAGAAGUCCAAGUGAUGCUGUAUGCUGUGAGUAUGCUGUUUUCAUUAAAGUCCAUGGAAGAUGUCUCUGUGCAUGCGUGUAUGUCCAUAUAUGUAUACAUACAAGAUCUGAAUUCCCAAGGGCAUCCUUCCACAGAAUAUUAUAUAUAUAUUAUAAUAAUGGUUAUAUAUAUAUAUAUAACACUGAGUCAUGCAAUGUACCUAAUCACAAAAGGAUGUUAAUAUAGACUUCUUUUUUUCUAUGACUUACGAAACUAAGAUUUCAACUUUUGUAUCAUCUCUACUGAAAGCACAAUUUUAGUAGUAUGAUUGAAGGGGGGAGGGGAAAAUAACUGGAAGGUAUAUGACAAAAUUAUAAAAGCAUUUUUUUUUUCUCUGUGAAUUCUAGCAGAUACUGGGAAAUGACUUAUCUGGCAGCUGUAUAGUUUGAUUGUGUAUACUACUGCAAAAGAGAACAGAUGUCAAGUGUAUGCAUCAGCAGAUUUAUCCAGACAUCCGUCAUCCCGAGCAGGAUGACUGGUGGUGACCUGAGGCCUGACAUCUGCCUGCUGCAGUGCAACUGAAAGACAUCAGCUUUCUUUGAGGAUGUGGAGACCACCUGAGCAGACCUGAAAUUACGAAGACAGGUGUCUGAGGCUUAACAGAUGAAAACCACUUGCUGAAAAUAAAGGUCAGACCAUGGUAGAAAAGAGGUGACCUCUUUCUCAGCUCAGUUCACCAACAAUAUCUAUGGGAAACAGCUGUGACAGUUCCCUUCAGCACAAUAUCCACAGGUCCAAGCUGUUAAAACUGUAGUUAGUCUGCCUGGGCUACUGCUAUCUGCAAUGCUCUUCACAGAAGUAAGCAUUCUGCCUGAGACUGAGCCAUGAGUGCAGUAAUUUUGGGCAAAUGUUGCAAAACUCAGAAGCAGCUCAAAAUCAUGAGAUGUGAACAAUCGUUAUUACUUGAAAGGUGAUUCAGCCUCUGGGUAAGCAAAGCCGUUAUCGGGCCCUUCUGAUCUGCCUUACUUUUCUUGCUUUGCUACAGAAGCAGAAGUCAGAUGGGGAAAGCUGAAUGUGCAUGAGUCUCCCUUUUGCCAUUAAUUUUUGGGAAGACUUGCAUGUUUUAGCUGCUCUUUGUGCCUUUGAAAGCAUCAUUCAAACAGCUUCUUAAUUAAAAUGGAGAAUCAGGCAAUAAAACAUUGUAAUCAGUGCCUCCAUUCGUGAUGCGUCUGAGGUGAUACGUGCUUUGUGUUCAUAGACAAUAGAACUUUGAAAACCAACAAAACAGCAGAAAAUGUUAUUUAUUUUUCUGUCCUGCUCAGUGACCUUUGCUAUUGGUGGAGCCUCUGAAGUCUGGCAGAGAAAAUGAAAUCCAGGUCUAGUGUGGCUAAUAUUCAACUCAACAGCAAAAGAUAGAUUUUACAUUCUUCUUUUCUAUUUUACAUUCUUCUUUUCUUUAUGCAAAGGCUGUUUGUUGAGUUGACAUUGUGAAAUCAGUCUGGCUAGUUGUGAAUGAUGUAUGAAAGAGGAAAAAACCCUGCCCAGAGCCCAAAUAAACAGGUGCUGCAGUAAGACCAAGGUAGUUGUGCUAAGCUAUCCUAUUUGCAGUGUCUGAGGCUGGAGGCAUUUCUGGUGGUCACCUGGCCAACCCCUGUCCCAGCAGUCACAUAGUUAGCUCAUGUCUUUACGUGUCCAAGAAUCUAUUAGUUUAGAUUUUGCUCAGAGAACAAGUAGGUAACGUAGAUGUGACUAAAAUUCAAAAUUCCACCAGUUUAUUCCUUCUCCCUUAGUAUUUUUCUCUAAAGAUGGGAGUAUUUGAAUAAUUACAUUAAUUAUUUUAUUUUAGCUGUAAUUCUAAUUAUAGCCUUAAUCUUCUUGAGGAGAAAUAACUAGGAGGUAGAUCAAAUUAUUAUUUAAAAUUGAAUGUACAAAACUUUGUUGUCAAUGCGGAAUUUUUCUCAUUUCAGACAUGAAUUUGACUUAAAAUCACCUUAAAUAAACAUAAUCAAUAUUCACUCUUUAUAUCUUGUUAUAUACAUUACUAUUUUAAUGUUUUUCCAUCCCUGGAGGUUUUCAAGGCCAGUUGGAUGGGGCCCUGGGCAGCCUGGUGAAGUAUUAGAUAUGGAGAUUGGUGGCCCUGCCUGAGGCAGAGGGGUUGGAACUUCAUGAUCCUUGAGGUCCCAUUCAACCCAAGCCAUUCUGUGGUUCUAUAAUUCUAUGAUUUUUAGGAUUCAAAGCUUGCUUGGACUUCCACAUACCCUUUAUCCGUGAUGAAGGUCAAAUGACCCUCAGCAGGUCAUCAGAAAGGAAUCAUCAAGACAAGUGGAAGAUAUUUCACGCAGGAGUAACACUGCUUAAAAUGAUGCUCCGUUCUUUUUGCUGAAGUACAAUGAAGGUAAAACAGUGAAUCACUGAAGUCCAGGACAAGUGAAUUGCAACUUUGGAUUCUGAACAACCUAAUCUUAAUGUCAUUCAUCGAUCAUGAUAAGUAAUAUCUUGGUACUGUAUACAUCAGCAAAAUUUGUAGAUUACUACUUAUUACAGACAUUGAAAUGCCCAUUUUGAUACAUUUUUCAUAGGUAUAUACAUGCCUCUUGUGGAUUUUAUUUAUUCACACCUUCUGUCAGUGUAAUUGUGCCGUAGUUAAAGUACUUGUUUUUCCUUCAUUCUUAUCCAGCUCAAUAGAUCAUGAAGGUUAAAGUAACCUUAAGCUACAUUUUACAAUUCUUUCUAGUACAUAAUUAAACAUUAAAAAAAUCGACAUUUAAAAAGGUAGCAACAUUCAUUUUACUACUGGAACAGAUGCAACAUGAAUUUAUUUAGUUCUAAAGACUGCUCUUAUCGAUGCCUAAUUCAUUUCUUCACAAUGCAGAAAGAUAGAGAAGUACACUUUUCUCAAGGUUACAACCACCCUAAUUCGUUCCAGGUUUCUGACUUACAAGAAGUUACACUUGCACAUUCAGUGAUUGAUCACAAUUUGCCGGAACAAGAUAGAAUUCCCCAUCCAUUCCUCGAUUAUGAUUUUUAAAUGGAUUACAUAGUAUAAUCUGAUAUGUACAUACUGCUCUUACAUUUCAAGAGAAUCAAAUACAGGCACUUUAAAGACAUUAAAGUCUACAUCUUGGCUUAUACAAAUAACUUCUUCAAAUAUCAUGCUCCUCACACAUUAGAAGUGAAUUUUCUUCAAUUUAUUCCUUCAAUAAUUGUCUCUAGAAGUUAAGUGAAAUCCAAACUGAAAGCUCAUGAUUUAUAUGUUGUAUGUUGGCAUUGUUUGUCAGUAUCUGUUUCAGCGCCCUCACUGCCUCUGCUUUUAUGGUGCCAAACUUCAGCUUAACUUUUGUCCUGUGUAUUGGUGUUUCUGAAAAUAUUGCUAGAAUGAAAAACUGAGAUCAGUCACAAUGAGUCUACAUGCUAGAGGAUAGUCAGAGAUCUGUACUUAAGUUCCUUUUUUUACCAAUGCAUGUUUUAUGUUUGUAUGUAUUUCAUGGUGCAUUUCUCUGUUGUGCCUAUCAAUAGAGUACUUCAAACCGGGACUAUGUGUGCUGGUUGGGAUCACACCACUGAAUAACACUGGGUAAAGACUCCUCAAAGAAUACAAGAAUUGUCAGAAGAAGGAUGGUUUGAUGGAUGGAGUAUCAAAUCUAGAUGAGAGCAGAACUGGGAAGCAAGGGAAAAGAAAUCUUAUAGCAAGCGUUCAGGAAAGAACAUUAUUUAUCACAAUGAAAAGGAAAAUAGCUAUGAAAAAUGAGAUGAAAUUAGGAAAGAAAAAUGGUACUCUGCAACCAUUCUUGCUGUAGCUAAAGAUAUUUCAUUUUUUCCUAUUAUUAGUCAGGAACAGUCUAUGUUCAUUUUAAAUGUAUAAUUAUUUUUGUUAUAAUAGUUUUGUAUUUUAUUGCGUCAUCUCCUUUACAGAACACACAGAAUAUCAUAACAGGACUCUUCAAUGCCCUGGAUGAACAAUAUAUUUACAGGAUGGGAAAGUGUAGAUGUCUGCCUUUCCUCCUUUGAAUGGCACUACUGCCUGUGUACUGAAUAAGCAGGGCUGACGGGGUUCACAUUAAUAGACCUUCCUUUUAGAGAGAGUAGUUGUGUGUAUUUCUGAUAAACAAUUAAAGAAGCUGUUUGCCAAGUAUUUCACUGUGCAAUAAUAGAUAGUGAAGGUGGAAGGACUGGAAAAUGACAAAGCGUUUAUCAUGUAGUGAGAAAGCCUAUGUGGUUCAAGAGGAGGAAAUAAUUGCUCCUUUUCUUUCAGCAUUUAUUCAAGUCAAAUGCAUCAAUGGAUGUUGCUGUAAAAGAGAGGUGCCUGCUUUGUUUAGGUAGGACAGAGGAACCCAACAAUACUAUGGAGCAAAAUGAGAAAUAUUAAAUAUGAAAACACUAAUGAGCUCUGGGUUAGUGAAUUGUGUGCAGAACUGUAUUUACUGUCCAACAGUUUUUUUUUGCAUUGAAUAUAUUGACUGCUUGUCUGUAUCUGGAACUUAACGUUUUCCAGAUGGUACUUAAUAUAUCCUUAUUUAUUCCUCCUCAUCCAACAUUUUGACUUGAAAUGGAAAAACAAGCCUGAUGAUCUCCAAGCUGAAGGUGUGGUGGGCCACUAUACUGCCUUGGCUGAUGUUCCUGUUAUUCUGAGUCCUUUUGUGGCUUUUGAAAAUCCAGAAUAAAGUUAAGUAAGCAAGAGACUUGACAGCCCACAUCAGAGCUGCCAACUCCAGCAAUGAACCAGAUUUAGAAGCUGUUAUAUGAAGAAUCUACAGGACAUGAGAUUUAAAUGGUUUCUCUGAAUAAGUACCUUCUAAACUAGGGUCCUUGAGGGCAUGGAGAGACCCUCGAUGACAGGGUGGGAUUGUUUUUUCUUCACUUCACCGUUGCAGGCAGACAGCUGGGAGGACCAAGGAAGAGCUCUUGUUCUUUUGCCUGCUUGGAGGAGAAAGUCAUUAAGUGGAUUAUCUCACUGGAUAAAGGUAUGAAGGUAAGAGGAAGAAUGGUCAGAAGCCCUCCCACUGCUGUGGUCCUUCUGGUGAUGCCCUCAGCCAUCGCAUGCAGGAUCCAUACAAAAGGUGAUUCCACGGUAAUAUAUUCUGUGCUAGUUUCUGGCAGGAAACAAUAGAUGCAAUGUGGGAGCUUAAAGAAGAGAGAUGCUGGGAAGACAUCAUACCUUUUCUGACUGUUCCAUAUCACAUCACUCUGUUUGGAGAUACUGUGUUUCAUCUCCUACAAAGUAAAUUGCUGGCUGACAGCUGGAACCACCUCUACUAUAAAUUAUUGCACUCACAAGCAAGUUGGAUAUCUACCAUAGGAUCAUCAAACACAGAGGAGUUUGUGUUUACACUGCUGUAACCAAGCUGGGGGCUGGUUUCCAGAAUUACAGAGUCUUACAUAAAACAAAAUUUUCUCUUCAUUAAGUUCCAUGUUGACUGUCACAAAUCCUCCCUAUGAAUCCUUUCUAAUUCGUAUUUUGUGAGGGCGGGCUAGGACCCACAAAAAACAUUUACCCUAAUUCAUCUGCUGCGUUGUAAGGCUUUUAUUAGGCUUCACAAAUUUGAAUACUUUCAUCUGCGUUGUCAAGCUUCAUUCCCCACUGGUAUUUUUCCCUACAAAAUGUUGGUGAUGAAUAUUCACAAACCCCGGUGAGAGCUGUGCCAAAGACAUAGCUCAAAACAAUACAGCUGUAGCCAGAAAGCUGUACAGUGGGUGAACUGUUCUCAAUUCCUAUGCAUGUCUUCCAUCUCAAACCUUCAUCCUAUUUAAGUGCCUCAGGAAGAGAUAGCAAAGAAUCUCUUUCUCUUUUUUUUUUCUGGAAAUCAAAUACAGAGGACUUGAAAGAGAAAAAGUUAAGUAUUGUAAGCAAUCCAGAAGGAGCAAACCAGGACCCACUUAUGAAUCUCCUCCCGUAAGGAUGGCUGAAAACCUCUAACUUGUAAGAAAACUGUGAAUGUCUGAAAAGUCUUCUGAUGUGAUACAUGUUGUGUCUAAUUUAGGUGCCUUCUGAUAGGGCUGACUGCAUGUGGAAAUAGGAGAAAGAGUAACUGGAUAAUAUUCUACUGCUAGAAGAGGCUGAGGCUGAUCUUCUUCUGCUUGAAGAUUGAUAUGUGUAGGACCUGUGUGGUCAAAACACCAUUAAAAUCAUAGUAAACAAAUAAUAAAUACAUGUUUGGGUCCCUUACCUGCAACAAGGUGAGUGAGAGGAUGAAAUUUAUGCUAAUUCUUGCAACAUUGCCUUUAAUUAUUGUGAGCCAAUGUCAUCCAUAGUAUAAUCAAAGUUAAAAUUGUGUUAGAAAUUGCUUGCCACUUUUUACUUCUCUGUAUGUAUGAGUCUAUACAACAGAAUUCUCAUAAUACCUUAGAGGGAAAAAAAAAGCCAUCAGACAAGAAAUAAACGUGUCUUCCUCUUUCAUCUAAAUUUAACUAGAAAAGCAGUCUCAAAAAAAUUAGACGUGCUGAACUAUCCAUAGGAGAUUCCAAUCCAUUAUUAGCCUACUCACCCUGUUACUUAUCUUCAAACGCACACACCACCAACAGAAAGGAUUUAGGUUACAUUUAAGUAAUCCAAAUCUUGUAGGUAGUGGGUUUUAGUGAAACUGGAGCACUUGUUACUAUAAUUUAACUACAAAAAAACAGCAUUUAGUGAAGUAAGAGGUCUGACUUUAAUGCACAAAAGCAGGGAGUUUUGUGGCAGUAUCAGUAAGGCUGAAGUGUCAGUCUGGAUUUUCAGCCUUAAGUCUGAAUUUCCUUGGUUUUGUGGAUUUGUCAGAUGUUUAACAGAGCUUAAAUGUAAACUUUCUUCUUGACGACAUUCAAACCUCCACAAUACAGCCCUUUUAAAGAAGAGAAAAAAAAACUCUCACACAAACCAGGCAGAAUGACUAAAAUGGUGGGAUAUGUGAGGAACAGUUCAUUGUCCUGUGUGCUCCAAAGGGAUUUCACUUCUCUGUGCCUCAGUUUCCCAAACAAGAACCUGAAGAUCACAUUUACAGAUCUUGGAAAUGUCCUCAAUAAUGAGUCACUGUAAUAUUUGUGAAGUGGAUUAGCAUGCUUGAACGCAGAGUGUUAUGGAACAUUUCAGAUGGGAUUUUAAUUGCCAGUGACCAGGGAGGACCUCAACACAGAGUAUGUGUCAGCACAGUUCAUCCCUUCAGAGCAUCUUCAAUUAAAGUUGCUCAAGGAUAGGAGCUCUCAGAUUAUCAUUCUUGCCAGCCUGUUAAAGACUGAUAAAGGAAAAGGAGGACUGCACUUCUGCAAAAUGAAUAUUGGAUUAGAGGGAGCAUGUCUUGUUUUGUGUGUAUUGCACAAAUUGCAAUUUUCCAGAUUUUCCAGAUAGUCCAAAUUGUUUGCAAUACAAUUUCCUUUAUAAAGUGCACUAUAUAGAAGGAGGAAACAUCACUACAUGGAACAGAAAUGUGUUCUGGAAUGCCACAAAACCAUACUGUGAGCUGAAAAUGAAUUCAACAAUUACUGGGCUACAGCACACUUUUACAUUUAUGGCUUUGGAUGGGAGCUCAGAGUUAUCAUUUGUGCACGUUCUCUUGACAGCGUGCCAUGAGCUGCUCAGCCACUGAUUAACAGAGGUUACUGUGAGAGUCCUACCAAUUAAUAAAAAUAAAAAUCAAAAUUCAGUGGUCCAGCUGUCAUAGAUGGAGCUGCAUUUCUGAUGGCACAUUCAUUAGUAAAAGUGCUCUCAGUUACUACUUUCUAUGUUACAUCACGCUUGCUUGCUGAGAUAGAUUAUGAAGACAAAGUUCACUCGUUGGUGGAAUAAGUUACUCUAAUUUGAAUUUGAAAUGGAUGACAUCCCAUUAUUUAGCUUAAUCUAAAUUCAGAAAAAUAUGCAAUUAAAAGUGCUACAUUACCUAUACAAUUUAAAUCCUGAGCUGCCUGUAAAUAUCUAGCUCUGCGAGGUAAUAUUUGGAUCAUGUAUGAAAAUAUAAGAAAUAACCACUGAGGGCGACUAGACAGUAAAUGAUACAGAGGAUAUUAAAAAGAAUGAGAAAGUAUUUUAUUCCGGUGGAAAUCUAAUAAACAAGUACCAAGAAGGAGUAUGUCUAAUGAGAACUGAUGUAGGCGUUGAAAUACAUCACUGAUUCACUCACAUGCGAAACUUUACUUAUUUAUCAUAGUUUAUCAGAAAAGCUAUAGAGAGGAAGUCCCAAGGCACUGGCAAGGUAAUGAUGCUCUGUGAGAUGUGGAACCCCUGCAUGUUCUCAUGAGCAGUGCUGCUUCAUACAGGUGUGCCAGCAGUGCCUGACCAUCUGGGGCAAGACAAUGACUUGUGUUAUGAAUACUUCUUUGGGAAGUUCUUGGCAGAUUUAUUUCCUGCAACCAGACCUAGUCCUUCAGUUCAGGAGAUUAUUGCUUGCCCGAAGCUCAAGAGUUACAUUAAUUAUUCAGUGUUAACCAUUUGUGGACAAAAUCUUUACUUCCUUGUUCAUAUUUUUUAUACCUAAUGACAGAGUAAUGCUCUUUGGUGCUAAUAAAUGCAUGGAUUUUCUCCUGCAUUGUUCACUAUGAUGAAUGACAGACACUGUCAUUCUUUAUACUUUCAUUUCCAGAUAAAGCAUAUUUAUGAUUAUCUUUGAGCAGGUAGAAGCUUGUGUGCACAUUCUGCGUCCUGACACAACAUAAUGGUUAAACGCUUCAUGGACCUUUAAGACCUGUUACUUGGUGCAUAGCUGGAUAUGCAAGAGUUGGCUCAGUGGAUGCUAAUUUGAAAUCACUGCUCUCAAUUUUAUAACAGUAAGCAGUCAGCUAAUCUCACAAACAUCAGCCUUUGCAGAAGUCUUCCAUAUAUUUCCACCGCAAACUAGGAGUUUAAUAAGCAAUUAGUUGCUGAAAUGAUGCAUAGCUAUCUGUGGUCACCAUUUAAAGACAUUGCAACAAAGUCAAUUCAGAAGAAGAAAGUUGAGCUGGUGAAUAUUUCUAAGUGAAGAAAAAAAAAAACUUGAGCUACUUGUUGGAAAGGACAGCAACACAGCACACUCCCAUGAUGUCCUUGAGGAGUGGUGAUGGGAAACAAUAAAAAGACAAACACCAGCAGCAUUUUGUUCUGCAGAGGCUGGUAUGAAGUUAAUCAAAGCUUCCCAAAGACUUAUGUCCAAGGUCUGGUAAAUUUUCUUCUGGACCACUAAUUUUUCUGCUGUAACCUCUUCUUCUGCCACUCUAUCUCAGCUUCACCUCUCUUCCUGUUGUGCCUUCUCCCAGUCUCCCCUUCUCUUCCAGGUGGCAGUUUCUCUUUGCAGUCGAGGCGCCAGAUCCCAACAUGCCAGAGGUUGUGCUGAAAAUCAGGACUUGGGGCUCUUCCUUUGCUGAGAAGAUAAAGUGGCAACUCUUGUGAAAUCCCACCCCUGCUUCACCAGCUGAAUGAAGUCCAAAAACUUGAUGCUUCAAACAUUUCACAGAGAUGGAAAAAAUACGAGAGCCAAAAAGAUUGUUAAAAAGAAUCCACAGUGAGGAAGACGGGAAUGCUAUCUGUGGUUCUCAUAUGAGGAAGAGCAAGAACAGAUGCAUUUUUUCCGCAAACUCGGAACCUCAGCUUGCAAGAAGUAGUGAAGCUUUGUGUAGAACUGGGGAUGACAACUGAACGCAAGUAGUCACCAGCAAAACACAGAAAACAUGACUGUUGGUGCCACAGCUUUGCCAGCUGGUAAGGGACUUUUCCAUGUCUCCACCUUGGAGAGAAGAGUGUGGUGUGCUCUGAUUUGAAUGAAGAAACAGGAUCAUUGUGGUCUGUUUUCCCCAUCCUUUGAGCCAUCCCAGUGCAGGAACCAAGAGAAGAAAUCUCAUUCUUUCUCUUCUGCCCUUGAAAAAGGAAUAGGUAAAAUUGGACUGUAGUCUUAGAAAAUCAAACCUCGCCUUGUGGAUGAAUCACUGCCAUUGAUGCUGGGAGAAGGGAAUGAAUAUCCCUCAAACAAAGGAUUUUAUAGGAUGCUAAUAUACAGGAUAGAGGAUAUGCCAAAAAUCUGUGUGGGUUCAAAAAGUGACUGGAAGGAAGAAAAGAAUCCACCAAAGAAAAUCCUUAGAGGAAAAUUCUGUCACAUAGAAAGAUUUCACCUCAGCUUCAGCGGAUCCUUGAACCACAAAUAGCUGCAGGCUGGGAAAGUAUUCUGGGGAAUAUGGUUGUGUUCUGUAAAUAUUGGCUGUGGGCAAUGUUGAAGGACGUGAGACUACGUGCAUGUUCAUUUUGAGCUGGACCAGCCAUUCUUGUGUAUCUGUUAUUUGUGUGUUUUCAAAAAGAAAAAAAAAAAAAAGAAAAAAAAAGAAAAGCUCUCUGAGAGACACUUCUCUCUUUCUAUUUUUUGUUAUUCCAAUCCAGUCUGUUUUCGGGGCCAGGGAGGGAGACACUGGAGGAUCUCAGUGCCCCUAGGCAGAUGGCGAAUGAGGGAGAAGUGCCUGCGGGGCUGAGGCUGGCGGCGUCUCUUCCAGACCAACGUGCCUUGGUCCCCCUGCAGCUGGGAAGAGCACAGAGCUUGUUAGUGAGGUACAGGUGUCAGCAGAUAAUGAACAGGAUUGUUGUAAAAAAACAAAACAAACAAAAAACCAUGGAAUAAGAAACAAUUUAUUUAUGAUGUAUUGACAAGGAUAUGGAAAAAAUCCCAAGAGACCAUAACAGGAAGACACAAUAUCAUGGCUAAUAACAUGCUAAAUAAAUUUUAUUUUAUGAUGAAACCUCCCUAUGAUUGGAAAGGUUGACGUUCAAAACAAUGGUGACCUGUGUGCAGCACAUGUAGCAACAGGCAUGGCUCCUGCCUUCUCGUGGUGGGGCUGUCCAAGAAGCACAACGAUGCCUUUGGGAAUUACAGCUGCAAGCAUGAGCUGUGUUUUCCCCAGUAGAUCAAUUUUUCUAACUUUAGAACAAUGAAAGAGGCAUAACAUAUUAUAAAUUGAAAUUACCCUGCAUGGUUUUAACUGUGCAGUUGGCAAAGGUCAUUAAGUAAUGUCAUUCCCAGCCAUACGCCACAGGGAGCAAUCUAUCAUAUAUUAUCUAGCAUUCUGAUGGAAGUAAAAAAUGAUUAAUUUUUACCAUCUCAUGUAUAAUUUACUUAUUAAUGUUCCUUGCGAGACAAUCUGGUCUUGAUUAUUUGGCUAAUGCAUACUGAAUCUGAGCUUUGUAUUUUUCUUUGAAGAGAUUAGGGCAGUUAUUGUUUUUUUUGCGAACCAUGGACAUUUGAGAUCCAGAGUAAUAAAGUAGGUAUUGAAUAGCAUUCAAUAGGAGAGAAAGAAAAAUAUAAUGCUGAAAUGGAUCAUGACUGUUCAGGAUGCUUAUGAGAUUCUCACACAUCCCAUCCCAAAGUGCAAAAGUAUCCAUUCACCAAAGCCUAAACUGAGAUGUCUUUAGCUUUAUUUUACUUUCUCUAGUUUUUGUUCAAGCUCUAAAAAACAUUUCAUUUUAUACUUGAAUAUAAGCAUGGUUUAGUCAGAUUACUUGAGUUUUCAUCAAAACAAGCAUGUAAUAAAUUAGGACUUUUUCAUUUUAAAACCUGAAAUGCAUCCUGGUUGAUAUGAGGACAAGGACUGUGUGGUUGCUGAAGUAUGUUGUCAGUUUUUGGCCUUCAAGGGCUAAAUCAUGUUUUGAGAUAAAUGCUGCUCUUCAAAGUAAUCCAUAUCGAGUACUGUGAGUUCUACAUAGUUUUAGUUAGAGUUCAUUUAUAACAAUAAGAAGCACCUUAAAUUUAAUAUUAAUUUUUUUUAGCUGUUGUUCAUAAGGCAGCUUUAAAAUAUAAAAUACCUUAUUUUAUAUUUGUAUUGUAAUAAAAGCCACUGAAAGACUAGGAGAAGACACACAUCUGUAAAUGAUUAUAUGAUCUGGCAUCAAUACCUCUCAGAAUUUGUCUUGUGCUGUUUCAUAUUUUGAACUUUCACUUUGCAAUUACACUGUCCCUCUGUUAGGCCUGGCAGAUCAUGCUUCAUGUGCAUGAGGUUUAACUCUGACUUCCACUUCAAGGAUACUAAGUUAUUUUUUGUUUCUUUAGCAUUUUACCCAUACCUGAUUUCACUAAUGGCUUAAAAAUAAAUAAUAAAAAAAAGUUUCUGCUUUUUUUUUUUUUUUUUUUUUCCCUGAUAAAAAGGUCUAGAUCUGUAUCAGUAAAAACAUAUUUACAUAGUUAUGCUGAAUAAUCACUAGCGUCAGCCUCUUUGGAAAAGAAUCAAAAUGAUGUCUUUCCAAAUGACACAGAUCAGCAAUGCUUCAAAAGAAGAAUUUGUUGAAUUUCUACCAGGAAGUUGUCUCAUGUCUCUCCCACUCCUUAAAUCAAAUAUUACACAGCACCAAAGUAUGUCAGCCCCAGCAGUCCCGUAAGAUGAAAUGAAAAGCGUAGUUAUCUGCAGAACCUUCAAACCACAUGAAAAAGAAUUCAUGGUUGAGGUUGUUCAAAGGAGGCUAAAGGAGAGGAGGUGGAAGCAGUUGGGUGCAUCCUGCCCUGAAAAUCCUCAUCUACAGGUUGCAGUACUUUUGAUAAUGAUAUUACUCUGUCUUCAGGAGCAGAUUAAUUAUGUGCAGUCCCCAAAAAGAUUUUUUGUACUUACUUUUUUACUGCAUCUGAAGUGGAGAACUGACUGGAGACCCCACGGCCAUCUGAUUUCACCAAUAUGCAAAGAACAUUUUGUACCAUGAAUAGUGUUUAUCUUAGAAAAAGAAUGAUCUACAUAAGGGAAUCUUGAUUUUCUUAGAGCUGCUAUCAAUUUUUUAAUUUAAAAUAAUACUUCUCUUCAAUUUUUAUUGAUAACUGUCAUCAACUGCGUAUGCAGAAUGGGUCAGGUGGUGUAGAUUUUGAAAAAUUUUACUAAGUGUGAAAAGUUUUGUGUUUUUUUUUUUUCUGUGGCCUAACACUGUACUCUCCAGCUCAUUAUCUGAUCUCCUGUUGUCAAAGCCAAAGAAUAUCCCAUCAGCCAUUUUUCAUUGCUCCAGCACAUCUACAUUUUCAUGUUCUUUCUUCCCAUUAAUGCUUUUUUGUUGUUUUUUUUUCCCCAAAGAUAUUUUAUUCUCACACACUUGAAGUUCAGUCUCAUUCACAUUUUUAAUGUCUCUGAUUUUCUUCUUAUUUUAUUUCUGAUCAUCUGGUUUCACUGGUGGUGUUCACUGCUCACUCCUUUCCCCCAUAUCAUUAAUGAUGAUACUACAACUGGAAAUAAUUUAGCACUCUCAUGCACUUGUAGUUGUGUUUGUGAUAUAUAUGUAGGUGAUAUUUACUUCUCAUUGGAGCUUCUUCAGUAGGAGCUGUGACACCAACACCAGUAAGUGUUGGCUUAAGUCUGACCCAUAAAUUAUCUGUUUCCACUUCUUUUAGAAGUAUGUUUUUACAUUGGCUUGUGGGCAAAGUAAAAGCCAACGAAACAGCACUCCGUUGUCUGCCUACCUCUGUCUUUCACAUGUAGACACAGCCCUUUUCUGACUGACACAUGUGAGCAGGUGAUGGAGACAAGAGGCAGACUGUAGAGACGGUUGUAACUUUAUACCCUAUUUAUCCUACUUCUAUUUUCUCUUAGCUAGGUCCAGCAUGAAGCUCCAAAACUUCUAAACCCUGCAGAUAGAUGGUCUUCAGAAUAUGCAGUGGAGUUUAUCCAGUUUAACUCAGCCCAGCUGAUGCCAGCAGGUGGAGUUUCGCUGUGAGGUUUGUAAAGCUGCACCAUUCCCACUAGUCACUGAGGUCCUAACCAGUGCACUGCUGUGUGCAUGAAGUCCUGCUCUUAUCUGCUCAGUCUGGUAACUGAAAGUGCAAAGUGGCAAUUAGGUUCACCAUUAGCCCAUCAGCAAGUGCACAUUCAGGAUCAGAUCUACGUUUUGCAUGCCCAAGGCUGAGAGGUGCCAAUGGCUCUCCGUUACUGCUGGACAAGCAGAUAUGAAAAGUUGGCAUCCACAUAGAUCCGUGGCCGUGACAUGAGGAAACCUCCGCCACUUUGGCAAACAGCAUGCAAGUCCAGCAUAGGCCAUGGUAAGUAAAUUAUGUUAUUUGCUUUUUAGCUCCAAUUUAGUGGGUGUUGAUUGGUGUCACUGAAUGGGAGCAGACAAACUUGGGCUGCACACAAUGGAGAAAAUGUACAUGGAACAAACAGAGCUCUCAGAGUUUGUAGCACUAUUCACUUUCAAACCAUCUAUUAUUCAGUAUGAAAAAUUGACUGCUUUUUGCAUUUUACUUCAUCUAGUAAUGAGCCUUUUUUCCAUUAAUUAUGGUGGGUUGGGUAUGUGCUGCCCUACCAUUUAAGUAUAGUCUUUUGUCAUCAAUUUCUAUUAAAACAACCUUUUUAAGGUAAAACUAUAUAUUCCUUUGGGGUUCUACUUAAAUAUUUUUAAGGUAUGUUAUGUUCAAAAUGACAGCUCCAAUAUGUAAUGCAGUUAAUACUUAACAUUUCAAAACUCAACCUUUGUUGUGUAAAUUAAGAGAGAACCUGGCAGAAAAGAAAAACUUAUUCGUGACCCACUGAAAAAAGAACUGAGGAUUUCAGUCCCUUGAUCUUCCACAGAUCUCCUCUGACCUGGGAAAACCUAAAAAGAUUUACAGCCCACUUUAUAACAUAUUUUCUGUAAAGCUCAGAUUCUGGUUUGGAAAAGUUUUAUCUGUGCUUUCAAAUGCAUUAACCUCUUCUUUCUUUGAGAAUAGGAUUUUUGAAAUACUUCUUUCCACCUCCAGUAUAGGAACAGGAAUGCUACUUGCCUUCAAUCUAGCCUGGCAUUUUAAGGUUUCACUUUUAUGUUUGUCUAUCUCUUUGUAUUUAUAUAGGACCUUGUACAAUUGGGCUUUUAUCCCUGCUAAACUCUUAUUCUUCAGGUACUGUGCACUGAAUACACAUUUGGAAUGAAAAUUAAUUUUGAAUUAAUAGAAAACUAAUUGCUAACUAAAACUUAUCAUACAUUUCAUACAAUAGUGCAUGAAAAUUAAUUAAGAUUAUGAAAAAUAACUAUGUGCUUUCUUGGUAAUGUACCACUUUAAAUGCAUUUUUGUCAGCCGAAAACAUAACACAUUGAAUUGACAAUAAAUAGCUUUCAUUAAUAUAAUUCUAUAUAUGGCUUUCAGAAAGUUUAUUAAUUCUGGUGAGCAGUUUAUGCAACUGUGAGCUCACAUGCAAUGUUUCCCUCUGUGACAUUUGAAAAAAUCAGAAAUUGAAUCCCAAUAACAGCUGUCUCCUCUACAACAAACAUCUGUUUGGCACAAAUUUAGUAUUUAUGUUACGUAUGAUAAAUAUACACACUUGUGUAGCAGCAGUCUGACUUUUGCAAUUUGCCACUCAGGUGGAUAAUUGUAUUGUCCUCAUCGGGAUUGUAACGGGGCUACCAGAUGAAUAUCCAGCUGCUUCCAUCCCUUUGAAGGAACAGUACACAAACCUGCAGCCUUAGCUCCCACCCUUACUACGGAAGGGGCUCAGCAUUCAGUCUGUAGGCAUAGCAGCAGAUUGGCAAGGUGACAUAACAACUAUUUGCAAGUCUACGUGCUGUCUGAAGUUACCAAAGUAAAUUGCACAGCAGUCUGCUUGGUAGUCCCUAAGAAGAUAAAGUGGUCAGUGCUGCUCUGCUUUGAAAAUAUCAGCCCUGCUUUGUGCAGAAUAUUGCAGACUGGCUGAAAUGUUGCCCAAGCAACAUCCACUCUUCAGCUGUACUUCUCACAGUGGCUUCAGCUGAAGAAGGGACAAGACCCAAGGAAGUGUUUGGAAAUCUCUCUUGCAUCCUCCCAGUCUGAGACCAACCAGAGCAGCUCCUGUUUGCAUUGGAUUUGUACAUCGUUGGCAUUGGAAGAAGAAACAUUCCAGUGUGAGAGGGAUCCUCAGCUGGCAAAGCUGUAUCUAGCAGAGGGCUUUGAACAAGCCCCGUGCAACUGAGAAAGAUGUUGGCUGAAAUGAACUGGAGGUCUUCCUCUUUAAUAUGGAUUUUAUGCUUGGUGCCAUGCAGACAGCGCUGGCAGGAGGACGAUUUCAGUCUCUGCUACAUCAAUGAAAACAAGGGGUUGUUUAAACUUGGCGUUGACACAAAUAAAAUAAAAACUGAGCUGUU
ensembl:lncRNA